rnacentral:sRNA from 1 species
AUCUAGCCUCGAUGGGAGUGAUAUCCUUUUAUGGCGGGGUUUGCCAUAAAAGAUACAGCGGACAGCGGGACAGGUG